UCCUACGGGAGGCAGCAGUGGGGAAUAUUGCACAAUGGGCGAAAGCCUGAUGCAGCGACGCCGCGUGAGGGAUGACGGCCUUCGGGUUGUAAACCUCUUUCAGCAGGGACGAAGCGCAAGUGACGGUACCUGCAGAAGAAGCGCCGGCCAACUACGUGCCAGCAGCCGCGGUAAGACGUAGGGCGCGAGCGUUGUCCGGAUUUAUUGGGCGUAAAGAGCUCGUAGGCGGCUCGUUGCGUCAACCGUGAAAACCCGGGGCUUAACUUCGGGCUUGCGGUUGAUACGGGCGGGCUGGAGUUCGGUAGGGGAGACUGGAAUUCCUGGUGUAGCGGUGAAAUGCGCAGAUAUCAGGAGGAACACCGGUGGCGAAGGCGGGUCUCUGGGCCGAUACUGACGCUGGGGAGCGAAAGCGUGGGGAGCGAACAGGAUUAGAUACCCUGGUAGUCCACGCUGUAAACGUUGGGCGCUAGGUGUGGGGGGCCUCUCCGGUUUCCUGUGCCGUAGCUAACGCAUUAAGCGCCCCGCCUGAGGAGUACGGCCGCAAGGCUAAAACUCAAAGGAAUUGACGGAAGCC
rnacentral:rRNA from 1 species